CGAACCAAACAGCCCCUUUUUUCUUUUUCUCCUUAACCAACAGCCCUAACCAAAUGCUUAACUGAUCUCCUCUCUCUUCAACCUAACCAUGGCUGCCACCCCUUCCACCCCGUCAUGUCCAUCACCUCACCACCACCAAACCCAUCCAACAGAACCCUAGGCCUCUCCCAUCACCUAUUUCCCAUCAAACUCUCUCUCAAUACAACAGAUACAAGCUAGGAUCAUCAGACUCUCGCUCUCAACGGCUCUCUUCCUUUCCAAUCAGUCUGAAAAGUGGAAAACCUCCCUUCUUUCAUUUUAUGAGAACAAGGGAAAGAAAUCACUCUUUACAUUCUACUCUUUGACAUAAAAUAUAUUCCGAGAGGAGUUAACGAGCGGAUUCGGCGACUCGACAACGAUGAAUCACCUCAGUUCGCUAUCACGAAGAAGGUAAUCAUAUAUUUUUUUUUACUUCGUUUUUUUUUUCCAAUUGUGUAGGAGAAAAAUGUAGUUUUGUUCAAGUAUUUCCUCGUCGUUUGUUUGGUUUGGUUGGUUGGAAUGUGUCCUCUCCUCGUUUGUUGUAAAUUAGUGUAAGUCGACUAAUUUCGUCGAAUAUGUGUUCAACCUCGUCGCUGCUCGUCUUGUCAUUUUCCAUAUAUUUCUUUAGUUUUGUCACUUCUGAAUUUAUUUAGUGUGUUUAGUUGUAAUCUUGUUAGAGUCAAAUAAAUAAUUUACAUUCUCCCAUAUGUUAAGUAUAUUCGCCGUUUCUUUUAGUUUCGAAACUAGAUCAGUUUAAGGUCGGGUAAAACAAAUGACGAGGAUUAAAGUGUGUGUUUAAAUUUAAUGUAGACACUGUUUGGUAUAAUUAUUAGGAUGUGUUAGCUUCAGUUUCCUUCUAUUAUGAUCAAAGUGUGUGUUUAAAUUUAAUGUGGACACCACCAAAAUGGUUUUUUUUUACACCCGAAAGAGUAGAAACACUUAGAAACUCGGCUAAGCCUUGAGUUUUGAGGAAGUUUCUUACUCGUAGUUAAAUUUUUUAAGUCUUCCGAUUCGUCGGAAUAGUCGAUUUUUUGUGAAAGAGUGUUCCUCGUCAACUCUCAUCGCCCCUGUCGUUGCUUGACGAAAAGGUAAUUUUUUUUUAAAAGUCCCUUUCUUUUAAUUUCCGCCUUAAUCAUGUGUUAGUAUGUGUUAAGUAUGGUUGCUGUUUAUUUGCUUCUAUUUGAAAUAGAUUGGUUUAAAAUUGUGUAACGUUAACUACGUUUUAGCUUAAGGAUAAGGAUUAAGGUAUGUGCUUAAGGUUGUAUACUGGUUUGGUAUAGCUAAACUCUAGUCUUGAUAAGCAUUGGCUGAUGUAGAGGCGAAAACUUAGUAUGUGAAUUAGUUGUUUGAGUUUUCCUCUAUUCGUUCUCUAUUUGCUCUAUGUGUUCAUUUGACCCGCAAGUUUUAGCUUUGUAACCUCUUAUUCGCAAUAUCUUUAAUUGGGAGAUAAUGAUACAUGGUUGAAUUGGUUAACUUUGUGAAUUCGGUUCGAGUUUAUCAAAUGCUUUUUUUUUUCUUCAGUUCUUUGUGAUGAAUAUCGUUUGCUUAAUGUUAGUCAACUGUGAUGUUUUUCUUCUGCCUUUAGUUCUCUCAUUCACCUAGAAGCUAUAGGAUUAAGAAAGUAAUGCUCUCAUAAGUAGUUUGUUGUUCUUCCUAUCUUAAUCCAAUAAUGUUAAGUUGAUUGCUUGGCCCCUUUCAUGUUAGAACAUGGUUUCCUUUGGGGUGUUUCUAAUUCUGUUUUAGCCGUAUAAGAACCAGAUUUAAUCAUCUUUGCUAAUAGGUUGAAUCAUCUUCUCUGUUUGGAUUGCCCUUCUAUUUCCUUCUAUUUUCACCCUCUUUUGUUUAACAUAAGAAGAGGCAGGAUAAGAGUGUUUCUUUAACGUAUUAAUUAUGUUGGUUACAAGCUCAUAUGAACUGGAAGUUGCUUCAAAGUUGAGUGGCUGUUUGGUUGAUAACUUGAAUGAUUUAGUUAGAACAACACAAUAGACCAUUUAUUAUUAGCUUCCAACUAUGUUCAGAUACUGAUUCCCAUCUCAGAAUAAAUUUUCAUACUUCAUUUAUAGCAAUUGGCUUAACUAGUUUCAGAUUAACCACAAAGGGAAAUUAGUUGUAUUAGGUGGUUGUUUUGUUUAAGUUUAUUUCCAGUAGCUAAACAUCGAGCCUAGAUAAUCUCUAAAUGUGUGUUGCUGCUGUACUGUUCCCACAUUAUAUAAACACUCACCCUAUUUGAAUAUGAAUCUUCGGAGUUACUGUUUAGGUGUUAUAUUGUGUAAUAUUUCCUUUGUUUCCAAAAAAUCAUGACUGAGUUUCCUAACAUCCUUUGCUGCUAUAUGUAGCCAUGUAAUGGUCAUAUCCAGUUUCUCCUUAAGAACAGUUUUAAUAAUCUAAGCAUGAAUUGAUUCAGGAUCUCUCUCAAUUUCCUUCUCUGCUUGGUUAAGUUUUUUUUUAGAACCUCAAGUACUAUUUUCCAAACUCUUCUUUAAUCGAAUCUGGAAUGUGCACUCAGUUUACAGAUUUAAAGGCAUACUAUAGACAGCAUUGGAUAUCCGGAUAACUAUGUUAAUUUGAUGACUAAAUAAAUGAGUCACCCUCCCUUUUAGAAUAGAGAUUUGUCAAAAGCUUUCAAUUUAGGUGCAGUAGCAGUGAUUAGCUAACAUGAUCCUUACCCAUUUUUCUUGGAAUUAUUAUACAAAGGUGAUGUGCCAGCUUUGUUCACUUUUAGUGACUUUACCUUUUGUGUACUUAAUCCAAGUAUAAUCUUUCUAAAUCCUCAAAAAGAUCUUGCUUUGAGUUCUGAGAUAUCUCUUAUCACUGGAUCCUGUCUGAAUAUGUUCAGUUCUUCUUCUCUGCCUUUCUAUGAACUGCUCGGGUACUAUAUUGGAAGAUUAACUCAAUAUUUUUAGCAACACUUAGUGUGUAGAGUGCCUUAUGUUAUAUGUGUGUUAUGGCUAGCUUUUAAGUUCAUCUUUCUUGAGGUACUAUGUUUCCUUUUGUUCGCCUGAAUCUCUUAGGUUUGAUUCCUUGUGUGAUGUUUAUGACCAGUCUUGAAGUUUUCCUUUUAAGUCAUGUUGUGUUAGUUGGUAUAGUCACUUUCUGGAAGUCGUUAAGGGACUGAUUUACAGAGGCUCGUUAAUCCCAAAAUCUCAACUUUGAAAGAUAAUACUUUGUUUCUUAUAAUUUAUAGUUUCUAAAUACUUGGGUCGUAUCAUGGAACUGCUUUCUAUGCCCAUCCACUCUUAAAACCCAAAUCUUAACCCUUCUUUGACAUAUUGAUUCGGGAAAGUUUAUAUAUUUACUCAGCAAGUGUAGAAUGCCUCAUAUUCAAGUAGUCAUUAUUUCUUUUCUUCUGCUAAAUCCUUUGGCUUCUGGAUACUCAUUCUUCUUCACCCCCCUCUUUUCUUUGCAUGACUCGGGGAAAAUUUCCCAAUCCCAAAUGAUCAUGAGCUGCUAUUGAACUGGAGACCACUGCUGCUACAAACAGUUGCUUGUUUUAAGAUAGUUGCUAUAUUUUUCCAAAGUUCGGAGUGCUGUAUUUUGAUGCAAGGAGCUGCUAUAAUUGGGGACAAUUAUCUACUGUUGUCGUUGCAAGUAUUGAGGAAGAUUGUCGUCAUUUUCUUGAGCUAAAAGUGUCAUAUUCCAUCACGAACCGUUGUUCAUUUGGCGAGAAUGGCUGCUGUGUGUUUGCUGCAUUUUAUGAGGCAAAACAGAUGCUAUAAUUGAUGUCCCAAUGCUACAGUUAAGAUGAAACAACUGCCGCAUAUCAAGAUGGUUGGGUAGUUGUUUAUGAACCAAUUUUCUGGUCAACUCGUGGCCUCAUAUUGAUGAAAAUAGUGGCUGUCCUCUCAUAGUUUUAAUGCUAUCCUUGGUGCCACUUGUGACUGCCUACAGUUUCUUUUAUUACCGCAUUUUGCUGCUAUCUAGCAGCUGCUGUCUGUGGCUGCCUACUGUUACUGCUUUUGGCUGAAAAACGAACAGAUUGCUACACUUGAUAAAGGCUCACUGAUUGAAUAUGAUACAACACUAGGGCCGAUGAAAAGAAAUUUAAUUUGAGGCCAUGCCUUUGUCCGAAAAGGUUAUCCCCCUGUUUAGGCGUUGAUGACCUCAUAGUAGAAUCACGAGGUAGGAACGAACAUGCGUUUGGCGAGGCAACUAGAAUGGCCACUAGUCUGCAGCCAAGACAUGUUUCGGAUUCCUUUGCCAUAUUCGGAACCGUGAGUCUGAGCCUCCGUAAUCAAAGCUCUCAAAGUUUGAUACGAGUCCGCGGGAUAUUAUUUAUGUUCCUAAACGUCACCCGACGGGGCGGCGUAUCAUUUUUUCUAACAUUUUCCUUUCAUAUUUUUGUGAGGUACAAAUAACGCGAGGCAGUAGAACAAAGAUGUACCAAAAGUUGAAGCGAAGAAAUUUGGAAGCACCGCAUGUUUGGCCGAAGAACUAGAAAAGGGGCAAAUAGGGCUCAAGCCUUAAACCUUAUUUAUUUUUAUCUAAAUUUAUGUAUCCAAGUAUUACAUGUAUAUUUGGAUCUAUAACAAAUUGCUAACCUAUUUACUUUGGUUUUCCUUCUUAAUCCAGUUGAAACCCGAAGCU